UACGAAGGGGGCUAGCGUUGUUCGGAAUUACUGGGCGUAAAGCGCACGUAGGCGGCUUUGUAAGUUAGAGGUGAAAGCCCGGGGCUCAACUCCGGAAUUGCCUUUAAGACUGCAUCGCUCGAAUUGUGGAGAGGUAAGUGGAAUUCCGAGUGUAGAGGUGAAAUUCGUAGAUAUUCGGAAGAACACCAGUGGCGAAGGCGACUUACUGGACACAUAUUGACGCUGAGGUGCGAAAGCGUGGGGAGCAAACAGG
rnacentral:rRNA from 1 species